rnacentral:lncRNA from 1 species
GCUGCUCCGCAGAUUUUACUUUCCGGUUUAAUCGAGCUUCUUAGGCUCCCGGAGUGUGCAGCCGCGGGUGCAGGCCAGCUCGUGCCAGGUGCGCGUGUGUGAGCUUGCGUGCACGUGCCUGAGUGCGGCCACAAGGAAACCCAGAGGCCCAACUUCUCCACGAUCCACUCCAAGAACCCCGGAGUGAAACAGGACCACAGGGCAUGCACCCUGGUGCCACCCACGGAAUUCCAAAGGCGGGCACUGUCACUUAUUAGCUGCGUGACCAUCAGCAGGUUCCUGCAUGGCUCCAGGUCCCAGUUUUUCACCUGUACAAUGUAUAGAUUAAAAAUAAGAAUAUCUGGCUUAUAAUUAACUGAUCAGAAUUACAUGGAUCAGUCCCUGUGCAGUGCUUGUAACGGAGUGUGGGGGGCCGUGAGAACCACACAGGGAAACAAGUCGAAGACAGUCACCUGAAAUCGGUCAGCCAGGGGCAGCAGCAGGGAGGUGGACAGCGUAUGGCAGUUUGUCAGCUGUUUUUCCAAACAAAACAAAACAUAAAUCCCCACAGUUUUGCUGAACAUUUAAUACCAAG